UGGCCCCAGGUAACGGCGAGUGAAGCGGCAACAGCUCAAAUUUGAAAUCUGGCCCCCAGGGCCCGAGUUGUAAUUUGCAGAGGAUGCUUUGGGCGAGGUGCCUUCCGAGUUCCCUGGAACGGGACGCCAUAGAGGGUGAGAGCCCCGUCUGGUCGGACACCGAGCCUGUGUAAAGCUCCUUCGACGAGUCGAGUAGUUUGGGAAUGCUGCUCAAAAUGGGAGGUAUAUGUCUUCUAAAGCUAAAUAUUGGCCAGAGACCGAUAGCGCACAAGUAGAGUGAUCGAAAGAUGAAAAGCACUUUGAAAAGAGGGUUAAAAAGUACGUGAAAUUGUUGAAAGGGAAGCGCCUAUGACCAGACUUGGGCCCGGUGAAUCAUCCAGCGUUCUCGCUGGUGCACUUUGCCGGGCACAGGCCAGCAUCAGUUUGGCGCGGGGGACAAAGGCUUCGGGAAUGUAGCUCCCUCGGGAGUGUUAUAGCCCGCUGCGCAAUACCCUGCGCCGGACUGAGGUACGCGCAUCGCAAGGAUGCUGGCGUAAUGGUCAUCAGCGACCCGUCUUGAAACACGGACCAAGGAGUCGUCUUCGUAUGCGAGUGUUCGGGUGUCAAACCCCUACGCGUAAUGAAAGUGAACGCAGGUGAGAGCUUCGGCGCAUCAUCGACCGAUCCUGAUGUUCUCGGAUGGAUUUGAGUAAGAGCAUACGGGGCCGGACCCGAAAGAAGGUGAACUAUGCCUGUAUAGGGUGAAGCCAGAGGAAACUCUGGUGGAGGCUCGCAGCGGUUCUGACGUGCGAAUCGAUCGUCAAAUAUGGGCAUGGGGGCGAAAGACUAAUCGAACCUUCUAGUAGCUGGUUCGCGU
rnacentral:rRNA from 1 species